AGGAGGGACCAGAACUUCUCUCUCUUUCCAGUGGAUGGCAGUACGGAUCUCUAAGAGCUGGCCAGGUGCUCCACCUGGAUGGUGCUGGUGGUGACAGUGAGGCAGAUGUCUUUAUGAUGUUCUGCCGUCUUAUAAGGGGGCCUUCUAGCUACAAAGAUGAGCCGAAGAUGUGAGGAUGCACCAACAGCUGCUCCUUUUUAGGGACUUCAGAACCAUCUGCGAUCAAAACCUCAAAUGCAUGAAGACAGCACAGUCCUCAAGGCGGUGGCUCAUCACUUUUCAGGUGAGAACAUCACAUCCACAAGAAGCAGGGUGAGAGAGCCGACUGCCAGGAGUCUGGACUCCCCUUCAUCUGGAGACAUCAGCAAAGGAAACCAUCAGCUCUUCAAGCUAUCAGACUCCCUCCUCCCUAAUAAUUCCACUUUGACAGAUAGACGCCAGCUCAUACUCAUGUAGUAGUAGCUUGUUGGUUUGCUUCCGGUUCUUUGUGAAUGUUUACUUCAAUUCCCUUUGUGCUCUACUCUUGGCAUCCCUUGGAAUAUUGCUUGUUCUUGGUGAGUGUAUCCAGGCUGGUGCCAGCUUACAUCUGAUUGUAUCUCCCAUUUGUAACUGGUGCCCUGAGGACUACAAGCAGGUCUUCGAAAAUCAAUUGUCUGCUUUGGCACCAAAGAAAUCUGUGUGCUUGGUAUUUUCAGGGAGGAAAAUGAAGGAAAGAGCUUUCUUUGUUCCGA